GUUUUAUCCAACAACAGUUCAAUCAUGAAGGGCAGCCUUUUACAGAUUAUUUUCCUCGCGGUGUUGGCAAUAUCAGUAAAUGGUGAAGAUUCGGAAGACGAGGGAUUGAGCACUACUGCAGAGCUUGUUAUAUAUUCUACUAUCGCACUCUCGUCGUUGACGUUAUUUUGUUUGUUUCUACUAAUUUACAUCGUCCAUACGAGCAAUAACACCAAAUUUGCAAGACAUGACAUGGAAGAAGUGAAUUAAAUACGUGAGCCACAAUAUUCCAAAUAUGGCUGCUUGAAAUCACUUAGUCUGCCAUAUAUGGAACAUGACCAAAUAUGGCUGCUUGAAAUCACUUAGUCUGCCAUAUAUGGAACAUGACCAAAUAUUACUUAGUACAAUUGCAUGAUGAUUUAUUAACAACGUUGAAUCGAAUAAGGACAUGCUCACCAAACAUAGAGAUAAAAAACCGACUAAUAAAGAAGAGUUGCAAAAAUGAAGGAACAAAUCACAUAAAAAAUGAAGACAGGCACUCAGACCGAGGCAGCAAAUAAAAUGACAGAGAACAUUUAAUCUUACAAAUAUUAGUUUCUGUCAAGUAUUAUUGUAAAAAAUAAACAAUUUUUACGACA